rnacentral:rRNA from 1 species
GACGAACGCUGGCGGCGUGCCUAAUACAUGCAAGUCGAACGCAGUGGGGACGGGUGGGUAACACGUGGGUAACCUCCCAUCAGAGGGGAUAACACUUGGAAACAGGUGCUAAACCGAUACUGAUGGAUGGACCCGCGGUGCAUUAGCUAGUUGGGGGGGUAACGGCUCACCACGGCGACGAGGCAUAGCCGACCUGAGAGGGUGAUCAGCCACACUGGGACUGAGACACGGCCCAGACUCCUACGGGAGGCAGCAGUAGGUAAUCUUCGGCAAUGGACGAAAGUCUGAUCGAGCAACGCCGCGUGGGUGAAGAAGGUUUUCGGAUCGUAAAGCUCUGUUGUUAGAGAAGCGGUAUCUAACCAGAAAGCCACGGCUAACUACGUGCCAGCAGCCGCGGUAAUAC